rnacentral:rRNA from 1 species
UGGGGAAUAUUGGACAAUGGGCGCAAGCCUGAUCCAGCCAUACCGCGUGGGUGAAGAAGGCCUUCGGGUUGUAAAGCCCUUUUGUUGGGAAAGAAAUCCAGCCGGCUAAUACCUGGUUGGGAUGAUGGUACCCAAAGAAUAAGCACCGGCUAACUUCGUGCCAGCAGCCGCGGUAAUACGAAGGGUGCAAGCGUUACUCGGAAUUACUGGGCGUAAAGCGUGCGUAGGUGGUCGUUUAAGUCCGUUGUGAAAGCCCUGGGCUCAACCUGGGAACUGCAGUUGAUACUGGACGACUAGAGUGUGGUAGAGGGUAGCGGAAUUCCUGGUGUAGCAGUGAAAUGCGUAGAGAUCAGGAGGAACAUCCAUGGCGAAGGCAGCUACCUGGACAAACACUGACACUGAGGCACGAAAGCGUGGGGAGCAAACAGG